UUAGAUGUAGCUCAAUGGUAGAGCACUUAUGUAAAUUGUGUGAGGUCCUGGGUUCAGUCCCCAGCCCCUCAA
rnacentral:tRNA from 1 species